UACGUAGGGUGCGAGCGUUAAUCGGAAUUACUGGGCGUAAAGCGUGCGCAGGCGGCUCGUUGUGUCUGAUGUGAAAGCCCCGGGCUCAACCUGGGAAUGGCAUUGGAAACUGGCGAGCUAGAGUGUGGCAGAGGGGGGUGGAAUUCCGCGUGUAGCAGUGAAAUGCGUAGAGAUGAGGAGGAACACCGAUGGCGAAGGCAGCCCCCUGGGCUGACACUGACGCUCAGGCACGAAAGCGUGGGGAGCAAACAGG
rnacentral:rRNA from 1 species